GAAGGUAAACUUUAGAUACCACACAUGCGGUUUCGUAGUUUCUUAUUUUAGUAUCUUAUAGUUUAAAGUGUAUCAAUUUAGUUCUCUGGGGUUUCAUUUUUUUCUUUUCGUCAGCUCCUAGUUUUAUAUUUUAUUAAAUUAUAUACAAAAAACUUCAGAUACUCCACCUAAUUUUAUAGAAUAUUCACUUUAAUAUAUUUUAGUUUUAACUUUGUAACUGAUUUAACGAAAAUAAAUUAGUAGGGGUGAUAAUAAAAAGAGAAAAAUAAAACCAUGGGUACUAAAUUGAUACACUUUAAAUAUAUAAUACUAAAAUAAAAAAGUGCGAAAUCAUAUGGGUGGUAUUUAUAGUUUUCUAAAAAAAAAAAUUCAAGCUCUAAUAUUAAGUUUAUUACAAAAUCAACUAAGUUGAAUUUUGCUUCUGUAGCAAAUUGCAAUUUGCCACUCAUAACUCAGUUGAUCAAAGUUUAACUUGCCAUCACGAUCACUUGAAAUUAGACACUGGCAUUUUAGAUUAUCAUUUUUCAUAUUGGAUAUGCCCUAAAUCCGACCAAAAAUUUGAAACCCGAAAAUCCGAACCCGAAAUAAUUAUUUCUCUUUACUAUAUUUCAAUACUUAUUAUAUUACAAUCUAAAUUUUUAAAAUACAAGUGCAAACAUAAUAUCAAACAUUUAUUUAUAUAUUAUAUAAUAUAAAAUCAAUUCGGGUUCAGGUUCGGAUUGGGUAGGGACAAAAUCCAUACCCGAAUUCAAAUUCGUUGGGCUUUUAUUCUUUAUAUAUAUAUCCGAAUCAUAUCUAUUUAGAAUCAAAUAAAUCCGUAUUAUUCAAAUUCA
rnacentral:lncRNA from 1 species